GACGAACGCUGGCGGCGUGCUUAACACAUGCAAGUCGAACGGAAAGGCCCUGCUUUUGUGGGGUGCUCGAGUGGCGAACGGGUGAGUAACACGUGAGUAACCUGCCCUUGACUUUGGGAUAACUUCAGGAAACUGGGGCUAAUACCGGAUAGGAGCUCCUGCUGCAUGGUGGGGGGUGGAAAGUUUCGGCGGUUGGGGAUGGACUCGCGGCUUAUCAGCUUGUUGGUGGGGUAGUGGCUUACCAAGGCUUUGACGGGUAGCCGGCCUGAGAGGGUGACCGGCCACAUUGGGACUGAGAUACGGCCCAGACUCCUACGGGAGGCAGCAGUGGGGAAUAUUGCACAAUGGGCGGAAGCCUGAUGCAGCAACGCCGCGUGCGGGAUGACGGCCUUCGGGCUGUAAACCGCUUUCGCCUGUGACGAAGCGUGAGUGACGGUAAUGGGUAAAGAAGCACCGGCUAACUACG
rnacentral:rRNA from 1 species